UAUAACGAUAACGAAUCAACACGUAUUGCUUCUCCUCGUAAAGCAAAUUUUAAACAAAAACUAAAGAAUAGAAAAAGUACAACGUCCAUUGAAUCCAUAGAUAUGUCAGAAAAUGAAGAUUUUCCUAAAUGCGUCAAACGAAAGAUAAGACAAGAGAAUAAAACGCGAUGGCCAAGUAGAACGUCAAUUAACGAGUAAUAAAAGUAUUUAAUAUUUCGCAAAUUCAUGUGUUACAUAUGUCGAUAAAACAUAACAAACGUAUAAAUAAAUUAUGGAGGUAUAAAAAUUUAUAGACGUAAUGGUGUGUCUGUAGCAUUUAUUAUUUGCGACUUUUCGAGGCUACGAUACAUAUACAUACAUAUAUAUUUAUAUCUAUAUGUAUUUUUUAUAUACGUGUAUAUAUAUAUAUAUA